UCCAAGAGGAUCAUCUCCCUAUCCUACCAGGCCUACUGACUCCCUCGGGCCUCAAGUCUCUCAUGGAUUAGACACAGCUUCGCACACUGAGGCCAGACCAGGCAGUCCUCUGCUAUGUAUGAGUCAGGGAGCCUUGGACCAGGUCAUUUAUGCUACCUGAUUGGUGGCUCAGUGUCUGAGAGAUCUCAGGGGUCCAGAAAAGCUGCCGGCAGCAGCAGGAAGCUGCUGUCAGAACUCCUCUAAACCGUGCUUUGCCUGUCCCAAUGCCAGACCAGUGCAGAGGGAGAGAGGGUGGGUGAAAGCAUCUCUGAACAUGGCAUGUCAGUGAGUUUUGUUUGUUUAUAACCAAAUACCUGACAUCAUUAAAUUAUAAAGACAA